rnacentral:misc_RNA from 1 species
GUAGGUGAACCUGCGGAAGGAUCAUUAACACUUUUUAUCCAAUAAAAAAAACUAAACGUGAACUUUUCCCCUCCCUAUAUCAUUUUACAUGAUAUAGGCUACCAUUUUAUUUUAUUUAAAACCACUUUAACUUUUUAUAAGUCUUUGUUUGUAAAGUCUAACGGCCUACAAAACAAAAAGACUGACUAACUAAAAAUUUUACUUAAGAUGUCAAACAUUAAAUGUUGAUCUCUUAAUUAAUAUUUUUUCUUUACGAAAUAAAUAUUAGUAUAUAAGAACAACUCUUAGCAAUGGAUAUCUUGGUUCUC